rnacentral:rRNA from 1 species
CCUACGGGAGGCAGCAGUGGGGAAUAUUGCACAAUGGGGGAAACCCUGAUGCAGCGACGCCGCGUGAGCGAUGAAGUCCUUCGGUAUGUAAAGCUCUAUCAGCAGGGAAGAAAAUGACGGUACCUGUCUCAGAAGCCCCGGCUAACUACGUGCCAGCAGCCGCGGUAAUACGCAGGGGGCAAGCGUUAUCCGGAUUUACUGGGUGUAAAGGGAGCGUAGGUGGUUCUGCAAGCCCGAUGGGAAAACCCGGGGCUCAAUCCCGGGACUGCAGUUGGAACUGGAAGGCUAGAGUGUCGGAGAGGCAGGCGGAAUGCCUGGUGUAGCGGUGAAAUGCGUAGAUAUUAGGAGGAACACCAGUGGCGAAGGCGGCCUGCUGGACGAUGACUGACGUUGAGGCACGAAAGCGUGGGGAGCGAACAGGAUUAGAUACCCCAGUAGUC